AUUGAACGCUGGCGGCAUGCUUUACACAUGCAAGUCGAACGGCAGCGCGGGGGCAACCCUGGCGGCGAGUGGCGAACGGGUGAGUAAUAUAUCGGAACGUACCCAGAAGUGGGGGAUAACGUAGCGAAAGUUACGCUAAUACCGCAUACGAUCUACGGAUGAAAGUGGGGGACCUUCGGGCCUCAUGCUUUUGGAGCGGCCGAUAUCUGAUUAGCUAGUUGGUGAGGUAAAGGCUCACCAAGGCGACGAUCAGUAGCUGGUCUGAGAGGACGACCAGCCACACUGGACUGAGACACGGUCCAGACUCCUACGGGAGGCAGCAGUGGGGAAUUUUGGACAAUGGGGGCAACCCUGAUCCAGCAAUGCCGCGUGAGUGAAGAAGGCCUUCGGGUUGUAAGACUCUUU
rnacentral:rRNA from 1 species